UACGUAGGUGGCAAGCGUUGUCCGGAUUUACUGGGCGUAAAGAGCGCGCAGGCGGUCUUGUAAGUCGCAUGUGAAAGCCCCUGGCUCAACCAGGGAGGGUCAUUCGAUACUGCUUGACUCGAAGGCAGGAGAGGGAAGUGGAAUUCCGGGUGUAGUGGUGAAAUGCGUAGAUAUCCGGAGGAACACCAAUUGCGAAGGCAGCUCGCUGGGACGUUACUGACGCUGAGACGCGAAAGCGUGGGGAGCAAACAGG
rnacentral:rRNA from 1 species